rnacentral:rRNA from 1 species
GACAGAGGGUGCAAACGUUGCUCGGAAUUACUGGGCGUAAAGCGCGUGUAGGCGGUCAGAUAAGUCGGGUGUGAAAUCCCUGGGCUCAACCUAGGAACUGCAUUCGAAACUGUCUUUCUGGAGUGAUGGAGAGGAAAGCGGAAUUCCCGGUGUAGAGGUGAAAUUCGUAGAUAUCGGGAGGAACACCAGUGGCGAAGGCGGCUUUCUGGCCAUCAACUGACGCUGAGACGCGAAAGCGUGGGGAGCAAACAGG